rnacentral:rRNA from 1 species
UGCAGUCGACGGUGAUGCUGGGCUUGCUCUGGUUGAUCAGUGGCGAACGGGUGAGUAACACGUGAGUAACCUGCCCCAGACUCUGGGAUAACUUCGGGAAAUCGGAGCUAAUACCGGAUAUGAGACGUCCUCGCAUGGGGAGCGUCUGGAAAGAUUUAUUGGUCAGGGAUGGACUCGCGGCCUAUCAGCUUGUUGGUGAGGUAAUGGCUCACCAAGGCGACGACGGGUAGCCGGCCUGAGAGGGCGACCGGCCACACUGGGACUGAGAUACGGCCCAGACUCCUACGGGAGGCAGCAGUGGGGAAUAUUGCACAAUGGGCGAAAGCCUGAUGCAGCAACGCCGCGUGAGGGACGACGGCCUUCGGGUUGUAAACCUCUUUUAGUAGGGAAGAAGCGAAGUGUUUUACAUGGAGUGACGGUACCUGCAGAAAAAGCACCGGCUAACUACGUGCCAGCAGCCGCGGUAAUACGUAGGGUGCAAGCGUUAUCCGGAAUUAUUGGGCGUAAAGAGCUCGUAGGCGGUUUGUCGCGUCUGCUGUGAAAUCCGGAGGCUCAACCUCCGGCCUGCAGUGGGUACGGGCAGACUAGAGUGCGGUAGGGGAGAUUGGAAUUCCUGGUGUAGCGGUGGAAUGCGCAGAUAUCAGGAGGAACACCAAUGGCGAAGGCAGAUCUCUGGGCCGUAACUGACGCUGAGGAGCGAAAGCAUGGG